GACAGAGGAUGCAAGCGUUAUCCGGAAUGAUUGGGCGUAAAGCGUCUGUAGGUGGCUUUUUAAGUCCGCCGUCAAAUCCCAGGGCUCAACCCUGGGCAGGCCGUGGAAACUUUCAAACUAGAGUAUGGUAGGGGUAGAGGGAAUUUCCAGUGGAGCGGUGAAAUGCGUAGAGAUCGGAAAGAACACCAACGGCGAAAGCACUCUGCUGGGCCGACACUGACACUGAGAGACGAAAGCUAGGGGAGCGAAUGGG
rnacentral:rRNA from 1 species